rnacentral:rRNA from 1 species
UACGGAGGGGGCUAGCGUUGUUCGGAAUUACUGGGCGUAAAGCGUGCGCAGGCGGUUGUGCAAGACAGAGGUGAAAUCCCCGGGCUCAACCUGGGAAUUGCAUCUGUGACUGCACGGCUAGAGUGUGUCAGAGGGGGGUAGAAUUCCACGUGUAGCAGUGAAAUGCGUAGAGAUGUGGAGGAAUACCGAUGGCGAAGGCAGCCCCCUGGGAUAACACUGACGCUCAUGCACGAAAGCGUGGGGAGCAAACAGG